rnacentral:misc_RNA from 1 species
AAGGAGUCUAACAUAUAUGCGAGUAUUUGGGUUUUAUACCCCAUAUGCGUAAUGAAAGUGAUAAGGUUGGAUAAUUUAUUUUAGCACCAUUGACCGGUCUGGAAUCAUUUUUAUGUGACGAAUCUGAGUAAGAGCAUAUCUGUUGGGACCCGAAAGAUGGUGAACUAUGCCUGAAUAGGGUGAAGCCAGAGGAAACCCUGGUGGAGGCUCGUAGCGGCUCUGACGUGCAAAUCGAUCGUCAAAUUUGGGUAUAGGGGCGAAAGACUAAUCGAACCAUCUAGUAGCUGGUUCCC